GCAUAUCAAUAAGCGGAGGAAAAGAAACUAACAAGGAUUCCCCUAGUAACUGCGAGUGAAGCGGGAAGAGCUCAAAUUUAAAAUCUGGCGGUCUUUGGCUGUCCGAGUUGUAAUUUAGAGAAGCGUCUUCCGCGCCGGACCGUGCACAAGUCUCCUGGAAUGGAGCGUCAUAGAGGGUGAGAAUCCCGUCUUUGGCACGGACCCCCCGGGGCUUCUGUGAUGCGCUCUCGAAGAGUCGAGUUGUUUGGGAAUGCAGCUCAAAAUGGGUGGUGAACUCCAUCUAAAGCUAAAUAUUGGCGAGAGACCGAUAGCGAACAAGUACCGUGAGGGAAAGAUGAAAAGCACUUUGGAAAGAGAGUGAAACAGUACGUGAAAUUGUUGAAAGGGAAACGCUUGGAGUCAGUCGUGUCGGCCGAGACUCAGCCUCGCCUUGGCUUGGCGUACUUCUCGACCGACGGGCCAGCAUCAAUUUUGUCUCUCGGAUAAUGGCAAGGGAAAGGUGGCACCCUUUUUGGGUGUGUUAUAGUCUCCUGUCGAAUGCGAGGGGUGGGAUUGAGGGACUCAGCACGCGCCCACUCGGCGUCGGGGCUUCGGCCCACGUUUACGUGCUUAGGAUG
rnacentral:rRNA from 1 species